AGUUACUGCCACCCUCUCCCAGGUCUAGAGAGGGGUACCCACGGUGGAGGGAGGUGGGAGGCCGAGACGGCCCCGGGGGUCGGCGGAGACCCAGCGGGAGCAGGGGGAAAUCGGAAGAGCUGGGGGCAUGGAGCGGGCGAGUUUGGAGCGGAAUGAGCCGGGAGCCCUACGUUGUGGAAGGAAGACAACAGUAUAGGACCAUCAGCAGGACCGGACAGAGAGGGGCACGGUUUCUCUGUAUAGCCCUGGCUGUCCUGGAACUUGUAGACCAGGCUGGCCUUGAACUCAGAAAUCCGCCUGCCUCUGACUCCCGAGUGCUGAGAUUAAAGGUGUGCACCACCACACCCGACAAGGAAGCCUGUUUUAAGAAGUGAUUCCAUGGAGGAGUUCUGCGGCGGCUCAGGGCUUGACUAAACAGUGGACCUCAGUAGACAAGAGAGGCUAAACCAGGCUGCAGGUGACAGGAAGAAUUGAAUAAACUGAAAGCAAAGGGCAGCCUUCUAAUUACGCUUCGUGGCUAUGUGGACAACCUGGAGAAGUCUGGAAACAAGCCAGAAGCCCGAAGCCAGCAGUAGAGCUCUGACUGGCUUGUAUGCCUAGAAAGGAAGGGCUCUUCUUUCGCCUCACGGGCACAAAUGGGACCCACGAGCGCCGAUUUCAGACUAUUCUGAUCCCUUCAAAAAGAAAGUUAGGAGUCCAGGCUACUGUGAGUGAAUUUGAUUCUAAUUGUUUCAGAGAAUAUGGAAUAAAAUAUCUCAUUUGCA
rnacentral:lncRNA from 1 species